AAUGAACGCUGGCGGCGUGCUUAACACAUGCAAGUCGUGCGCGAAAGCGGCUUCGGCCGCGUGUAGAGCGGCGAACGGGUGAGUAACACGUGGACAACCUGCCCAAGAGUGGGGGGAGUAACCUGGGGAAACUCGGGCUAAUACCGCAUACGUUCGUGGGGUUUCGGCCCUGCGCAGAAAGGUGGCCUAUGCUUGCAAGCCACCGCUCAUGGAGGGGUCCGCGCCUGAUUAGCUAGUUGGCGGGGUAAUGGCCCACCAAGGCGACGAUCAGUAGCCGGCCUGAGAGGGUGAUCGGCCACACUGGAACUGAGACACGGUCCAGACUCCUACGGGAGGCUG
rnacentral:rRNA from 1 species